GCAGAAUGGCCGAGCGUGGGCAAGGUCGGCAGCCGCCGCCUCGUCGCCGCGGCAGACCAACUCGAAUUGUUCUUCCCCCAUGGAAGCACGGAGAUGCCCCGAAGUGAAUCUCGAUGCAGCCAGUAAGACAGACUGAGCCGACAAACAUGUGAUGUCAGUUCUUAGGGAAGAGCUGAAUGUGAAAGCCAUCUGGGAAGCUCAGUCCUGGGGUACGCAUUAUGUUACCUCCUUUUACCGUCUUCCAUCUGAAAUGACGAAAUUUAAGGCAGUGGAUGAAGGUCGCCAUCAGGACCUUGCUGAGGUCAGUUCCGACGCAGAACCGGAGACCCCCGCCGAACGCCAUGAAAUGCUUUGUUCCACCGGUGAUUUCCAUCUUAUCCUGCAGCCCAAGUAAAACCCGGAAGUGUUAUUUCUUCAGACAGAUAGGUGAGUCAAGACUCUAGACCCAAAAGUAAACACAACACAUGACUUUCAUAUGCACUCUCGCUCACGAAGGCCAUGCGUGCAUGGACGCUUCUGUAAGCAGAUAUAUAUAUAUUAAUCUAGCUUCCAUUUGCUUCUACCGCUAUGAGACACUAGCAUGGCCGCAUCCUUUUCUUUAUUCCUACCUGUUCCUUAUCAACAGAACAGUGAGGAUUAAGUAUCAUUUGACAGUAUGCUGCUCUAGAAUCUGACUUGACCGCGCACAAGUGGACUAAUCACGUAGCACAAUACAGAGGACUGAGCUUAUUGUUACCGAACUUUCAGGUUCAUCCCCUGUAUAUACACUAACAGAAACUCGACUUCUGUAUUUGCUUCCCAAAUAAGCAGGUAUUGAAAUAGCACAACUUGCCACAUUGAUGAAUUGUCGAAUUGGAGUCCUAGACCCAGACAUGCUUAGAGUAAAUUACGAGCUAGUCAUGAUCC